UGGGUAAGAAGGUGUUGUGGAAGCAUAGUGUAUAUGGACUGACUCCUAACAUUGGAUCUGCGCACCAUUUACUGUUAUUUGCUAAACAGCAUAAUAAUGUUAAACUCUUGGUAGAAAUUAUGAAUCUGGUGAAGAAAAAUGACUUGAUCCUGCAGCCUGGAACUGCAGAUAUAGUCUUCAGCAUUUGCUCCCAAACUGAUAAUUGGGAUUUGAUGUGCAAGUAUGGUAAAAGAUUUGUCAAGGCAGGAGUGAAGCUCCGGAAG
rnacentral:misc_RNA from 1 species